AGAGAUUUGUGAGGUGAUUCAGUUACCUGAGGCUAAGGCAAGUCGGGUAACUCUAGUUGGGUGCCUGAGAAGCACAUGGGUGACUGAGAGGCACAUGGGUGAGAGACAGCUGUGCAGUGAGAGUGUCUCACACAUUAGAUUUGAUGAUGUAGAAGGUCAAACAAAAUGUCAAUCUUCAAAAUUGAACGUCUUCACACUUCCAUAUCGUCAUAUUCAACAUAUUAUCAUGAGGAAUAAAAUUUGAGGAAUUGACA